rnacentral:pre_miRNA from 1 species
UCCUAUGGAUGAGCAAAGAAACUGUUUUCUUGAGAUGGAAUCUAUUUCUGGUGAAGAUGUUGUGAA